UACACAUAAUAUAAUUAAAAACAAGAUAUAUAUAUAUAUAUAUAUAUAUAUACUCUCACACACACAUAUCAGUAGGCAUAGGCAUAUUAGAUUAAGGAUCUCACCCCACUCAAGUAUAAACUCAUCUUUUUUUCUGAUCUUAGGCUGGGCUCAAACUGGUGACUCUCCUGCUUCAGCCUCCUGUGAGGUGGGACUAUAAGUGGUGGUUUGAGUCCUAUAAGAAAGCAGGCUGAGCAAGCAAUGAGGAGCAAGGCAGUAAGCAGCACCCCUCCAUGUUCUCUGCUUCAACUCCUGCCUCCAGGUUCUGCCCAGUUUGAGCUCUUGUCCUGACAGCCUUCAGUGAUGAAUAAUGAUGUGGAAAUAGUGCCACCAACUGGAGACCACAUGUUCAAAGGCCCAAAACGAGGAGCACUUCUCAUUCAAGCCAUCAUACAGUGUAAGAUUGACUCUGGCUUUGAGGUGUAGCUUCUUUCCUCUGCUCUUCUGUGCAAAGCCUUCCUAGAAAUGGAAGACGUCUGCAUAGAGUGAUCAGUGGGUACAGGCUCCUCAUCUGCAGAUGGGAAAGGGGAUUGAAUCCAGAACCGGAAGCACGUUCGGCCAGCGCUCUGUGGCUAAGCCUCACCUCUCUCCCUGUGUGGCUGUCUGGAGUCUGGACACUCUUCUUAGGAAGACUGCUAAAGGUCUCCGUGGAGGUCAUCCACAUGGUCAUGGUGUCACCUGCAUUUGAGGCAUGGUCUGUCAAGUUAAGUAGGAAGCUAUUUUGUGGAGUCAUUUAAGAUUAGACAACAAGCCAGUCCCAAAUGCCUCUCUUUGAUGACCAUCCUGAUGGUCUUGUCUAGCCCUUGUCUUAUUUAAUAGUGAAGGAAAAAGAGACAGGGGCUGGGGGGAGGGCUCAGUCUGGAAAGUGCCUGCCAUGCGGAUGAGGACGUUGGGUCAGGUCUGCAGCACCCUUGGAAAAGCUGGGUGUAGCAGUGUGUGUCUGUAACCCCAGUGCUGGGGCAGGGGAGAGAGGAGGACCCCUAGAACUCACUGGACACACAGCCUAGCAACCAAUGAGCUCCAAGUUCAGUGUGAGACUUCCCCCCACCCCCCCAAAAAAAUCAGGCACCAAGUGCUAGAGAAAGACACCAACAUUGAACUUUGGUCUUCACAUGUACACGUGCAUACGUGCACACACAUGAACAUGGACAAAUAGCACCCAUGAGGAAAAAAAGGAGUAGAAAUAAUUGACCUAGCAUAUGCUGGGGCUUUUGAAAAUACUCAAGUUAUUGUAUGUCUUAUAGUUCAUAAACCUUACUGGCCAGGUGUAGUUCCAAGUCACAGGUAAGAAGACACCAUUCAGAGCUCAGGUGACAUGCAACCCUCCCCACCUCCACCCCAGGAGCACCGGUUGCAGGAGCUGGGACUGCGCUGUGACCCUUGGUUUCCAUGUCUGAGCAUCCUUCUGCCUCUCUACAGCUGGGUAGCUCUAUAAAAAUGAGCUAGACCCCAGCCUGGGGAGGAGAGGGAAGGCUUGUUCUUGGCCAAGUUUCAUUUAAUUUUCCAUCAGUAGGUGUCAACUGUGAAGUAGUCAGAAAUGCUAAAAUAACAGCUUAAAAACAUAGGCACCGAAAUGGAAAUGUAAUUUUAGCGCACGCCUCACCAGCCCCUCCUGAAGAUAAGUGCAGCUUGCGGGGUAUCUGUUACAGACAUGUAACACUUAAGGACCGAGCUCGCAGGAGUAGCUGGCGAUGUGCAAUUUAGCAACUUGGGCUGUGAAAGAAGAAGGGAACGGGGAGGGAAAGAGCACCGUGGGCAGAACACGGGGAAACAAAGGGAGAUGGAGGUGGAGAGAAGGCACAGAGCAUCCCUGCCUCUACUUGGAGUUUUCGAUAAUAGCCAGGGAAAUGGCUUGUUAGAUAAAAGAAGCUGGCCCGGGAGACAUUAUCACAGAGACUCCUGUUAGAGGGGAAAAGAGGAGGGUUAGGCAGUCACACAUUGAGGCUCUGCUUUGAAGUCUAGGGAGCCCCCUUGCUCCCUUGCAGUGUGCCCAGACUGCGGCUGGUCCCCUGAGUCAGGGAGAGCAUGAGCUCUGCUGUGUCCCUCCUUUGGGACACAGCGGAUGAUCUGCUUACAGAAAUCUGACACAAGAAAUGGCGGAUUGGGCCCAAGGCACUCAGUCUUCUGUUAUGGGAAGGAAGGGACGGCUAUUAUCUUGGGAUGCUACGGAGAGAGAUGAAGGGGAUCAAACUCAGGUCAUCGGGCAUGACGGCGAGCACCUUCACCUGCUGGAUCAUCUUGCUGGCCCCACAGACUUUCCCACUGCGGCAUUCUGAUUUGUCUAGACUGGCUGACCAGCAAGCCUCAGAGGUCCUCCCGCCUCUGCCUCCCUGUGCUGCAAUUGCAGGAGAGCUUCAUUUGGACCCACUCUCAGGCAUUGUGACUUCAUCCCUUGUGCAGAGCUGUGAGGUAGAAUUCAGACCCAGCUAAUCAGAGAUUCCCCUGGCCAAGGUGGUUGAUUCUGGAUGGUCAUAUGACCCAAAGAGAGUAAGUCACGUCUUGGAAUGAGAUCGCUCCCUCUCUGAAGGAUGGGAAGCUGAGGAGGAACUGAACGGAUGAUGGAACGGAUACUACAAAAGACAAAACUGUCUGCCUAUUGGCUGCUCAAUCUACGAGGCUGCAUGUCCCAGCACUCAUCUGGCCUGGACUGCCUGGGGGAUUCCUGGAGAGCCACUGGUCUUCAGACCAUAUCAGAAGACCCAAUAAGCUGGGUUCUGACAUCAGCAAUAGGUGGCUUCAGGGAGGAUGUCGAGGUAGAUGUGCUCAUCAACAGGAAGCAAGGCAGGCAAAUGAGCAUCAUUGCUCUCCCCUCAACAUCAGCCUCAUAUCUGGGCGCCACCCACUCUAGGAGUGUCUUUUCUCUCCUCUGUCAAUCCUUCUCAGAAAUGCUCUCAUAGACUUAUCUGCUCAAAGACCUUAGUUGAUUUCCUGAUCCUACCAAGCUAGCUAUUGCAGAGGGUGUAAGACCAGAAGUGACCACUAGAGGACACUGUGUCUAAGAGGUUUGCUGGGCGGUUCCCACCCAAAGUGGGCAGGAGCUGGAGUUAGAAACCAGGCUUGCUCAGGCAUACAACAUUUUUUUUUUAUUUCAGUGAGUUUGAGCUGUUUGUGUGCUGCUAUGUGCAACUUGAAGUGUCAUAGUUGACAUAAGAGCAAGUGUCCUUCAUAUUCCUGCUUGAAACUCAAGAGGGCUUGAUCUGUGAAGGAGGUGGUAGCAAUUUCAACCAGAGGGCUUUGUAGAUCUGCUAUUAGAUGGCUGAAUGCUGGUGGGUUUUCCUGGGGAGAUGGUCUAUUGCAGAAGAUCUGGAGAGGAAAGGGAUGGGUAUCAGUCUGUGCCAUACAGAUCUGGAUCUGGAGAGAGACAGAGACAGAGACAGACAGAGAGAGGGAGAACGAGAGAGAGACACAGGGAGAGAGGCACAGAG